rnacentral:rRNA from 1 species
GCAGUCGAACGGCAGCACGGGGGCAACCCCGGUGGCGAGUGGCGAACGGGUGAGUAAUAUAUCGGAACGUGCCCUGGAGUGGGGGAUAACUAGUCGAAAGACUAGCUAAUACCGCAUACGAUCUACGGAUGAAAGUGGGGGAUCGCAAGACCUCAUGCUCGUGGAGCGGCCGAUAUCUGAUUAGCUAGUUGGUAGGGUAAAAGCCUACCAAGGCAUCGAUCAGUAGCUGGUCUGAGAGGACGACCAGCCACACUGGGACUGAGACACGGCCCAGACUCCUACGGGAGGCAGCAGUGGGGAAUUUUGGACAAUGGGGGCAACCCUGAUCCAGCAAUGCCGCGUGAGUGAAGAAGGCCUUCGGGUUGUAAAGCUCUUUUGUCAGGGAAGAAACGGUCCGGGCUAAUAUCCUGGGCUAAUGACGGUACCUGAAGAAUAAGCACCGGCUAACUACGUGCCAGCAGCCGCGGUAAUACGUAGGGUGCAAGCGUUAAUCGGAAUUACUGGGCGUAAAGCGUGCGCAGGCGGUUGUGCAAGACAGAUGUGAAAUCCCCGGGCUUAACCUGGGAAUUGCAUUUGUGACUGUACGGCUAGAGUGUGUCAGAGGGGGGUAGAAUUCCACGUGUAGCAGUGAAAUGCGUAAAGAUGGUGGAGGAAUACCGAUGGCGAAGGCAGCCCCUGGGAUAACACUGACGCUCAUG